CCUUUUCGCUCUUUUCGGUCCUAGAAGCAGGCAUUUCUGUGCGACCUAGACCCAGGACUGAAACGGAUGGAAGAAGAAAAGGUUCUGAGGUUCCCGCCCUGGCGGAGUCAGAAGACCAAGCGCCUAGGGAGACAUGAGUCUCGUGAGUCAGAAGCUGUUGGCCCAUUCUCAUGAGUUUCGUUAACUGUUGACGGUUACUAGCAGGUAUGGCAUGAAGCUGCUUCAAGAGAUCAUCCACAUACUCAAGAAAAGCCACCUUGGAGGGCUGGUCCCUUGCUAACCCCAAGGAAUCAAGAAAACGGCUGCCAUUUACUUCCCAGAUCUCUUGAGUGUCUGUCUGCCCUGUGUCCUUCAAGACUACAAGUGGCUCUGAGAUUUGUGGAGACCACUGGGGCCCCUAUGAUGUCUAGCACUGGGCUCCGAUGGCAGGUUGAGGACAUCAUGCUUCCUGGGACCUUUGACACCCAGUCUCUGAGGAGGGGAAAAGUCAGGAUGCUGAGCUUUCCUGCCUCCCACCAACCUCUUACCCCCUUCUUACUGCCUACAGGUGUGCUCCAGAGGGCCAGGCCCCACAACCUGCCAGCCCUUCCUGGACCUCUUGAUCCUGCCCUAAAGCAACUGGGGCCAUGGGUGUCCAUCCACAUGGGCGCCAAACUGCUGGCCACCGUGCAGCCCUUCCAGCAGAGCCCCAGUGACCUUGGAGCUGGCCAGCCCCCCGGAGCCUGUCCAUACCAAGGCACGGUCUUCAUUUACCACCGAGACACUGUGCACUUGGGCGUCAGCAAGGAAUCGUUCCUGUGAUGCGCUGCCCUUCCUUCCUUGGGCCCACAUGAAGGGGGUAUCCAGCUGCCCACAGCAGUGCACCCUCAGGAGUCAGCCUGCUGGUCUGCCAUCAUGCUGCUGUUAAGCCCAUGUGACUUUGGCUCAGGAGAGGCCCCGUCCCAGUCCUCCCUUGUCCUCAGCCCACUGUCCCUCUGCUUUGCUUUGUACCUUCCCUUUGGAAGCUUGCUUGGCUGGGCUUCCUGGGGUGCCUGAGGAGCCCCAGCAUGAGUUGGGUGUGGGUUUAGGGAUGCUGGGUAACCAGUACUGCACAGGUGCCCAUUAAAUAGCAGGUGCAUCACCCUUUGA